rnacentral:lncRNA from 1 species
ACUGAGGAUGUGUGACUUUGUUCCCCCUGGACGCUGAGGGCAAUGCAGUACCAAUGCACAAUGCAACGACAUACAAGUCUCUAUGGAUUCUUGAAACACAGGUGCUGGGCCCAUGUCUGCUGUGUCUGAGCUGGGAAGGCCAGAGAAUGCUGACGGCCCCCUCCUCAUGCUCUGCCUCUGUUGGGAUCUCAGGGGUCCUCAGAAGCAGGUCUAUCUUGAGGAGCACUCUUAAUUGGAGGCCCAUGGAGCCUAAAGGUGCCUGACAUCACAUUCAGUGUUGUGUGUGGAGAUGAUGUAUUCAGAAUUGUGCAUGGAUGACAAUGUGCAUUUUCUGAGGAGACGGCCAAUAACAUUUGUUGAGUUCUCAAAGGGUCUAGGAGCCAUGAGAAGUUACGAAUCAUUUAUCUAAGGAGACCCAUCCAUCUCAGAAAGGCCCAAGAUUGACUCUCUGGAUCCUUUUUCAUUCCUGUUCCCAGACACCAAAGGGACAGGGAGGGGACGUGCAGGGAACCUUGUGGCCUGGGCUGAACAAGAAUGUG